CGUAAGUUUCCUGAGUCCUCCCAAUCUCUACAGAGCUGCAAGUCGGAAGGUAAUGGAAAGACAGCAGAAAUACUAACUGCUCCAGCGCAGCCCUUUAGUCAUUCUCAAGGAACUCUGAUUUCCCUUGUGUCUCUAUGGAAGUGACAAAUGAAAGUGGCCUCUAAAUCAACACGUAGAAGCAAGAGAAGGGCCAGAAAACUCACUGAAACCUCAGAUCCUA